CCUACGGGAGGCAGCAGUGGGGAAUAUUGCACAAUGGGGGAAACCCUGAUGCAGCGACGCCGCGUGGAGGAAGAAGGUUUUCGGAUUGUAAACCCCUUUUAUCAGGGACGAAAAUGACGGCACCUGAAGAAAAAGCUCCGUCUAACUACGUGCCAGCAGCCGCGGGAAUACGUCGGGAGCGAGCGUUGUACGGAGUUACUGGGUGUAAAGGGAGCGUAGGCGGGUCGGUAAGUCAGAUGUGAACACUUAGGGCUCAACCCUCAGACUGCCGUUGAAACUGCUGUUCUUGAGUGCAGUAGAGGUAAGCGGAAUUCCUAGUGUAGCGGUGAAAUGCGUAGAUAUUAGGAGGAACAUCGGUGGCGAAGGCAGCUUACUGGGCUUUUACUGACGCUGAGGCUCGAAAGCGUGGGGAGCAAACAGGAUUAGAUACCCCUGUAGUC
rnacentral:rRNA from 1 species